AUUGAACGCUGGCGGCAGGCCUAACACAUGCAAGUCGAGCGAGCGGCGGACGGGUGAGUAAUGUCUGGGAAACUGCCUGAUGGAGGGGGAUAACUACUGGAAACGGUAGCUAAUACCGCAUACCAUCAGAUGUGCCCAGAUGGGAUUGGCUAGUCGGUGGGGUAACGGCUCACCUGGGCGACGAUCCCUAGCUGGUCUGAGAGGAUGACCAGCCACACGGGAACUGAGACACGGUCCAGAGUCCUACGUGAGGCAGCGGUGGAGAAUAGUGCAAAAUUGGCGCAAGCCUGAUGCAGCCAUGCCGCGUGUAUGAAGAAGGCCUUCGGGUUGUAAAGUACUUUCAGCGGGGAGGCGGUACCCGCAGAAGAAGCACCGGCUAACUCCGUGCCAGCAGCCGCGGUAAUUC
rnacentral:rRNA from 1 species